GCAGCACCAUCCCAAGGAGCCUUUGCUCUCCAGCUGGAGAAGUGGAGCUGGGGCACUUGGUUCACCUCCUGCGCUGACCCAGCUGCCGCUCAGCAACAGCGGAUCGAGGAUGACUCCCUGCAGCAAUGGAGGAGAAUGGUGAAGAUGGAAAAUCCCAUGAUGAAAUACACUAAUCUGGAAUAUAUUGGCAGUGGGACUUUUGGAGAUGUUUGUAAAGCACUCGACACUGCCACAGGAGGAGAGGUGGCCAUAAAGAAAAUAAAUCUUCAAGAACUGAUCAGAAGGGAAGUAACCUUUAAGGAACUCAUGGUCAUGAAAAUUAAUAAGCACCUAAAC